rnacentral:rRNA from 1 species
GAUGAACGCUGGCGGCGUGCCUAAUACAUGCAAGUCGAGCGAACAGACGAGGAGCUUGCUCCUCUGACGUUAGCGGCGGACGGGUGAGUAACACGUGGAUAACCUACCUAUAAGACUGGGAUAACUUCGGGAAACCGGAGCUAAUACCGGAUAAUAUAUUGAACCGCAUGGUUCAAUAGUGAAAGACGGUUUUGCUGUCACUUAUAGAUGGAUCCGCGCCGCAUUAGCUAGUUGGUAAGGUAACGGCUUACCAAGGCAACGAUGCGUAGCCGACCUGAGAGGGUGAUCGACCACACUGAAACUGAGACACAGUCCAGACUCCUACGGGAGGCAGCAGUAGGGAAUCUUCCGCAAUGGGCGAAAGCCUGACGGAGCAACGCCGCGUGAGUGAUGAAGGUCUUCGGAUCGUAAAACUCUGUUAUUAGGGAAGAACAAAUGUGUAAGUAACUAUGCACGUCUUGACGGUACCUAAUCAGAAAGCCACGGCUAACUACGUG